UAGUGAUAUCACAGAUAUUGAAGACAGUAAUAUCAACACCAGGCCACCAGCAAAAAUACCAACCCUUCCCUCUCCACCGAGAACAAUGGAACCAAGAAGGAACUCAUCCAAAACACCUGAGCCAUCACAGACAUG